rnacentral:rRNA from 1 species
AUGCAGUCGAGCGGAGACAGUGAGUAGCUUGCUAUGAACUGUUUUAGCGGCGGACGGGUGAGUAACGCGUGAGCAACCUUUCCCAGACAGGGGAAUAACACACCGAAAGGUGUACUAAUACCGCAUAAGACCACGGGAUCACAUGGUUCCGGGGUAAAAGAUUUAUCGGUUUGGGGUGGGCUCGCGUCCGAUUAGGUAGUUGGUGAGGUAACGGCCCACCAAGCCGACGAUCGGUAGCCGACCUGAGAGGGUGAUCGGCCACAUUGGGACUGAGACACGGCCCAAACUCCUACGGGAGGCAGCAGUGGGGAAUAUUGGGCAAUGGGGGGAACCCUGACCCAGCAACGCCGCGUGGAGGAAGAAGGUUUUCGGAUCGUAAACUCCUGUCCUUGGAGACGAGUAGAAGACGGUAUCCAAGGAGGAAGCCCCGGCUAACUACGUGCCAGCAGCCGCGGUAAUACGUAGGGGGCAAGCGUUGUCCGGAAUAAUUGGGCGUAAAGGGCGCGUAGGCGGCUCGGUAAGUCUGGAGUGAAAGUCCUGCUUUUAAGGUGGGAAUUGCUUUGGAUACUGUCGGGCUUGAGUGCAGGAGAGGUUAGUGGAAUUCCCAGUGUAGCGGUGAAAUGCGUAGAGAUUGGGAGGAACACCAGUGGCGAAGGCGACUAACUGGACUGUAACUGACGCUGAGGCGCGAAAGUGUGGGGAGCAAACAGGAUUAGAUACCCUGGUAGUCCACACUGUAAACGAUGAAUGCUAGGUGUAGGGGGGUAUCGACCCCUUCUGUGCCGCAGUCAACACAAUAAGCAUUCCGCCUGGGGAGUACGGCCGCAAGGUUGAAACUC